UUCUGGAGUAACUCCGUAUUCUAAAAGUCAUUCAGCAGAUUUAUACAAAUCUUCCAUUAUGAACAAGUUAAUGUUGGUGUUACUCCUGGUGAGUUGUGUCACCAUGGUUAUCGUUCCUGAGGUUGCUGAAGCUCAGGGUCAUGGCGGUGGUAGAAGGUGUAGAUGUAGACAUAGGUGUUACUAUGGUGAAUACCAAUGGGGACGCUGUGGUUAUAGAACUCUUUGCUGCAGACGACGAUAUUAUGGCUAAUAAGGAAUGAAGUCCAAUGGUUGCAACUUGAUUUGGUCAGCCUUUAAAACUUUUGGGUUUCGUCUGAACUAAAAUUUCAUGUUCAUAAUUUCUUUGAAAAAUAAAUUGCAUGAAAUGAAAUAGUA